GAUGAACGCUGGCGGCGUGCCUAAUACAUGCAAGUCGAGCGAGUGGAUUAAGAGCUUGCUCUUAUGAAGUUAGCGGCGGACGGGUGAGUAACACGUGGGUAACCUGCCCAUAAGACUGGGAUAACUCCGGGAAACCGGGGCUAAUACCGGAUAACAUUUUGAACCGCAUGGUUCGAAAUUGAAAGGCGGCUUCGGCUGUCACUUAUGGAUGGACCCGCGUCGCAUUAGCUAGUUGGUGAGGUAACGGCUCACCAAGGCAACGAUGCGUAGCCGACCUGGGGGGGUGAUCGGCCACCCUGGGACUGAGACACGGCCCAGACUCCUACGGGAGGCAGCAGUAGGGAAUCUUCCGCAAUGGACGAAAGUCUGACGGAGCAACGCCGCGUGAGUGAUGAAGGCUUUCGGGUCGUAAAACUCUGUUGUUAGGGAAGAACAAGUGCUAGUUGAAUAAGCUGGCACCUUGACGGUACCUAACCAGAAAGCCACGGCUAACUACGUGCCAGCCGCCGCAGUAA
rnacentral:rRNA from 1 species